UCCCUGGUGGUUCAGUAGUUAGAACUUUGCCUUCUGAUGCAGGGCAUGCAGGUUCAAUCCCUGGUCAGGGAG
rnacentral:tRNA from 1 species